rnacentral:rRNA from 1 species
GACGAACGCUGGCGGCGUGCUUAACACAUGCAAGUCGAACGGAAAGGCCCGGCUUUUGUGGGGUGCUCGAGUGGCGAACGGGUGAGUAACACGCGAGUAAACUGCCCCUGACUUUGGGAUAACUUCAGGAAAAUGGGGCUAAUACCGGGUAGGAGAUACUGCUGCAUGGGGGGGGAUGGAAAGUUUCGGCGGUUGGGGAUGGACUCGCGGCUUAUCAGCUUGUUGGUGGGGUAGGUGCUGACCAAGGCUUUGACGGGUAGCCGGCCUGAGAGCGUGACCGGCCACAUUGGGACUGCGAUACGGCCCAGACUCCUACGUGAGGCAGCAGUGGGGAAUAUUGCACAAUGAGCGGAAGCCUGAUGCAGCAACGCCGCGUGCGGGAUGCCCGCCUUCGGGUUGUAAACCGCUUUCGCCUGUGCCGUAGCGUGAGUGACGGUACUGGGUAAAGAAGCACCGGCUAACUACGUG